GCCGGGGCGUCCCCCGCGGGAGCCCGCAGCCACCCGGGACGCGCAUCCAGACGUGGCGCUUCGGACCGGGCACGCUGCGCCCGGGGGCUCGGCGGACCCCGCGUAGCCGCCGCUUCGGAGCUUGUGCGGCGCGGGCUGGCCAGCGGGGCGGCCAGGGCCCGGCCCGCCUCCCCAGCGCCCGCCCGGCUUCUCCCCCUGGCGGUGGGAGCCUCGGCGGCCGCUGGCGACACUAGGCGCACUGAAGCCCGAGCCGAGCCGAGCCCGAGCCGCCGCCGCCGCCGCCGCUGCUGCGCACCGCUCCCGGGCUCCCUCCCAGCGCGCCGGCCGGGGUGUGGGGGGCGGCGGGCCGGAGGGGCGAGGGCGGGCCAGGGGGCGCACACGGGGGUUGGCGCGGAAGACAGGACCCUCAGCCUCGAGGGAGCCCCUAGGUGACCAGGCAAAAUGGCAGUUCCUUCCAGCUGGUCCUCAGAUGGGCACAUCUAUUAGCCUCUGCUCUUGUAAGAAGUUAGCUGCAGAACCCACAUGUGAAUCCUUGUAGGACUCUGGAGAAGAUCAAAUGGGAGCUUAGAUGUGGAAGCUCUUUGGAAACCAAGAAACACUCUGAAAAUGAAAAGGCAUAAGAAUGUUUAUCACAGCAUGGCAUAUAUUGGAAGUUUAGUAAAUGAAGAUACAUCCAAUCUGACAUUCUAUUCACAACCACAAAGAGAUAAUGUAGAAACAUAUUUAGUAAUGUGAGAAAAUACUAAAUAUUAAGUGAAAAAGGUGGAAGAGUAAACUGUUCCUGUUUCUCCAUCUUGACAGGAAGCAGAAGUUCUCCUUAGCUGAUUUUUCUUCUUGCCUUAUACUGGGUUCUUUAACACCAGAACAAAAAUAAAUAAAUAAAAGAAUCUUCCAGAAAUUCAUGAAGAGACUUCAGGUCAGGAAAGCCUGAACUUUCUCAUCCAACACCCGUUCAAGUCGGAGGAUGCUGAUUAAUUCAUGAUGGAAAGGUAUCAAUUUCACAGCCCAGACCUCUACAUUCUUGAAAUGCUCUUCUCAUGGGAGACAUUAAAUAAGCUUUGAAUUAACUAAAAAUAUCCAACCCGAGCAGGAUAAAACUGAUCAUCCUGAGGAUAUUGCCCUUGGAGUUAAUUUUUUGAGAGAAAUAAAACAAUAAACAUCAUAAGACACAAACCCCAAGCAACUGAUCUCACUGUUAAAAUCCAACCUGAGAACAAUGGAAUGGACCAUACUGUCUUUGUCACAACUCUGCCAUUGCAGCGUGAAAGCAUCCAUAGACGGUACACAAAUGCAUGGAUGUAGUUGUACUCCAGUACAACUGCAAAAAGCAGACAGCUGGCUGGGUUUAGCCUACGGGCCAUAGUUUACACAACUCAAUCUAGGUGAUUGCCUGGUAACUUUGUGAUUGUAAACAGGAAA
rnacentral:lncRNA from 1 species